GCACAUGCAAAUUGCAGGAAGUCCUACAGGCAUAUUAUCAAUAUGAUAUGCAGAAUUUCAGAAAUGACUUAUGGACAUGGUCUCUAUAUAAUACAGAAGUGCAGAAACCUAUAGACAUGGUUUCUAUAUAAUGCAGAAGUGUAGAAACCUUUAGACAUAGUAUCUAUAUGAAAUGUAGAAGUGCAGAAGUACAAUAAUUCCCUAUGAACAUGAUAUCUAUAUGAAAUGCAGAAGUAUAAUAAUUCCCUAUGAACAUGAUAUCCAUAUGAAAUACAGAAGUGCAGAAGUAUAAUGAUUCUAUAUGAACAUGAUAUCUAUAUGAAAUGCAGAAGUAUUGAAUUGAAGGUGUCCUAAAGUGCAGAAGGGUCGUGCCCUUUUAUAGUGCAGAAAGCAAGUAGAAAUAGGUAAGAAAAAUAGUUUGGAAAUCAAUUAUACAAAGUCUCCCUUUAAUUAAGGGAUUUCGAUUUCAAACGGGCAAAAUAAAUGAGGAAAAAGGUCAAUCAAACACUUUUCCAGAGCAGUACAAGAGAGGUAAAUGCAUAGAGGUUUAUUUAAGGACAAAGUCUUGAUAGUACACAAUUUGUGCAAAUAAGGAAAGGAAAUUAGUUAAUAGCUAGUAAAUUAGAAAUUGAGGAUUUCGUAUGAAUGAACCAGGUCAGAAAGAUGGGAAGGAUUUCGACUUAAGGAAAAUCAGUAUCAAUCGAUUAAACUUAUUAAAAGGAAUUCUGAAUCAAUCACAAGUUGGAAAACCAUUUUGAAGAAAGAUUCCUCAUAUAUAAAAGCACACAAACACGUUAAACAUGAAGAAAUUUGUCAUGCUAUUCAAUAGAAAAGUCUAGUGUAGGAGAAUCAGAAUUGUGUGCAAACAAAAGAAGUUCACACUUAGUUCAUAGACCCAGAAAUAAGUCUGAAAGAGUCAAGGGUCCUCAAACAGAACCCUAGUUUGAUCAUAUGACCAAACUCGGAGGAAACCCCCAAAUUCUAGGGUUUCCGACUCAAGUCAAAUACAGAGAUGAGGAGGCAACAGGCUCAGAGAUUUCCUUUCAGAAUCUUAUGAGAAGACAAGCAAAUACAAAUAAUAUUCAAAGUAGACAGAGCGUAGGAGCAUAAUGAGAGAAUAGUCACGACAGUAAAAUAAACGUGUUUAAGAAAACCUUUUAGAAGGGACUCAAACAGAGUUCAGUAGAAGGCAAACAAAACUUAAGAACUCAGUAGCAAAUACAUACAGUAGAAGAACACAAAAAUACCGGAAAAGCAUAGCAAAAGAUCAUAUAAGAAACUACAACAAGAUAAACAUGCGAGCAUGGUACAAAACACAGUAGAAAAACAAAGCACAGAAGAACAUGCAUGAUAAAGGAAAACAUAAGAACACAGUAGAAGAACAUGCAUGGUAGAAAAGAAAACAUAAGAGCAUAGUAUAGAAAAAUACACACAAAGAAAAGAAGAAGAAAAGUUAGAGAAACAUUUUAAGCUUUUCAGAAAAACCCAAAAUUGGAAAGAAGUAAUUUUUGAAAGAAAAAUUAAGGAAAACAUUUAAAAACUCAAGUAGAGCACAGAUAUAGAACAGAUUUAAGAAAACAAUCAGAGAAAACCUCGAAUAGCUAGGGUUUCAGAGGAACCCUAAAGCGAGAAAGGCUUGGAAAAGGUCCGAUCUGAGUCGGAUAAGUCAAAAAUAGGCUCAUAAUGCUUGGAUAUGCCGGAGCAAGGUCGGAGAGGCCAUAGAACCUUGAAUCAGAGAGGAUCUGAACAGACACCAUUGAGUCCAGACCUCGAAACUUCGAACACCAAGUGUUUAAGAGCAGAGGGAGAUGAGUUUAAGCCAUCCAGCUCACGAAGUCCCAGCAACAAGUAGGCUCUAGCCUAGGGCUGUAUUCUGGGCCGGGCCCGGGCUUUCGUGGGCCAAACGAGCCAGGCUUCAUGGGCCUGGGCUCUGGCGGUCCCGGGCUUCGUGGGCUCAACGGGUGGAACCGGCCCAUGACGGGCCUAAGCCCAUAUGGUCCUGGGCUAAACGGGCCGGGCUCACGGGCUUCGCGGGCCUAGCAUUUUUUAAGGCAAUUUCUUGUAGUAUCAUGGNNNNNNNNNNNNNNNNNNNNNNNNNGACUUAUGGACAUGGUCUCUAUAUAAUACAGAAGAGCAGCAACCUAUAGACAUGGUCUCUAUAUAAUGCAGAAGUGCAGAAACCUAUAGACAUAGUAUCUAUAUGAAAUGUAGAAGUGCAGAAGUAUAAUAAUUCCCUAUGAACAUGAUAUCUAUAUGAAAUGCAGAAGUGCAGAA
rnacentral:lncRNA from 1 species